rnacentral:rRNA from 1 species
AUGUUCGAGCUACCGCCUUGGGCGCGUGCCAAGAUUGACAGGCUGCGUCGUGCCUGGCUCUGGAAGGGUGAGGAGUCCUGUCACGGCGGGCACUGCAAGGUCGCAUGGGGGAUUAUCUGUCGGCCGUGCCAGCUCGGUGGCCUCGGUGCGAUCGACCUGGUGCGUUUUGGUGCCGCCAUGCGCCUACGUUGGUUGUGGCAGGAGCGUGUCUCCCUGACCAAGCCCUGGAUCAGCCUCCCGAUGCCUUGCACGAUCGUUGACAGAGCCAUCUUUGCAGCAGCAACAUGUGUGACCAUCAGUUGUGGGGAGUGUGCUCGCUUCUGGUAUGAUAGCUGGCUCGACGGUUGCGCGCCAUUCACCAUGGCGCCCGAACUCUUCGCAGUCUCCAGGCGCAAGAAUCGUUCGGUCCGAGAGGCAUUGCAUGGCAGGCGAUGGGUGUCCGAUCUUCAGGGAUGGAUCACUGCGCACACCCUGCCUGCAUUCGUAAGCCUAUGGUCCGCGAUCAGCCAGGUAGCGGCCUGA